UUAGAUUUAGAAUAUGUGUAUAAUUCGUGCUUUUGUCGUAAGUGAGAAAUUUUUGUUUUUUUAGUCUAAU
rnacentral:tRNA from 1 species